AGGGGGGGGAAUUGGUAAGAUGUAAGUCAUAGUCAAGGUUGGAGAAUUUGAUUUCUUCCAUAAACAUCAUACCAGAUAGAACAUUACUCCAAAAUUACAAGAUAUGAGAAUAUGACGGAACUUAAAAUUCUUUCAAAGUUUAGACAUUGGAUAUACAGGUUAAGCAUCUAAAAAAUACCUCUUAAUACAAAAAAGAAAAAAAACGGUAACUAUAUGUUUGUAUUCUAUGAAAUUUAUGAAAUUUAUGCUUUAUACACAAAAUAAAACUGAAUAUAUGGGAUAUCUAACAGAUUUCUUAGUCCAUAAUAUGCGAAGUUAUGUUUCGUGUUAG
rnacentral:lncRNA from 1 species